ACGCUGGCGGCAUGCCUUACACAUGCAAGUCGAACGGCAGCACGGAGCUUGCUCUGGUGGCGAGUGGCGAACGGGUGAGUAAUAUAUCGGAACGUACCCUGGAGUGGGGGGUAACGUAGCGAAAGUUACGCUAAUACCGCAUACGAUCUAAGGAUGAAAGUGGGGGAUCGCAAGACCUCAUGCUCCUGGAGCGGCCGAUAUCUGAUUAGCUAGUCGGUAGGGUAAAAGCCUACCAAGGCAUCGAUCAGUAGCUGGUCUGAGAGGACGACCAGCCACACUGGAACUGAGACACGGUCCAGACUCCUACGGGAGGCAGCAGUGGGGAAUUUUGGACAAUGGGCGCAAGCCUGAUCCAGCAAUGCCGCGUGUGUGAAGAAGGUCUUCGGGUUGUAAAGCUCUUUUGUCAGGGAAGAAAAGGGUGCGGCUAAUAUCUGCGCCUCAUGACGGUACCUGAAGAAUAAGCACCGGCUAACUACGUGCCAGCAGCCGCGGUAAUACGUAGGGUGCAAGCGUUAAUCGGAAUUACUGGGCGUAAAGCGUGCGCAGGCGGUUUUGUAAGACUGUCGUGAAAUCCCCGGGCUCAACCUGGGAAUGGCGAUGGUGACUGCAAGGCUAGAGUUUGGCAGAGGGGGGUAGAAUUCCACGUG
rnacentral:rRNA from 1 species